rnacentral:rRNA from 1 species
ACGGGAGGCAGCAGUGGGGAAUAUUGGACAAUGGGGGAAACCCUGAUCCAGCGACGCCGCGUGAGUGAAGAAGUAUUUCGGUAUGUAAAGCUCUAUCAGCAAGGAAGAAAAUGACGGUACUUGACUAAGAAGCCCCGGCUAACUACGUGCCAGCAGCCGCGGUAAUACGUAGGGGGCAAGCGUUAUCCGGAUUUACUGGGUGUAAAGGGAGCGUAGACGGCAUCGCAAGUCUGAAGUGAAAUGCAUGGGCUCAACCCAUGAACUGCUUUGGAAACUGUUAAGCUAGAGUGCAGGAGAGGUAAGUGGAAUUCCUAGUGUAGCGGUGAAAUGCGUAGAUAUUAGGAGGAACACCAGUGGCGAAGGCGGCUUACUGGACUGUAACUGACGUUGAGGCUCGAAAGCGUGGGGAGCAAGCAGGAUUAGAUACCCUGGUA